rnacentral:lncRNA from 1 species
GGUGAAAGCACAUUUGCUCCCCGGGUGGUUUUGGUAAUUAAUGACAACAUACUUUGUGGUUGGACUAAUGCUUUUAUCAAGUAUGUUUCAGGAAAUUCAAUCACAUUGGCAUGGCAAAAGGACUAAAGAAGUGGACCCCUCAAAAUGCUAAGGCAAGCAUUGGCAAAAGCUCAGCUAAGGCAAGCAUUGGCAAAAGCUCAAGACUCCAUUUUUGGUUUAGUGAUCCAAGAUCACAUUGAGUCCAUAGGAAAAGCCAAUACUAUUAAAAGGGGAUGAGGUUAUGAUGAUGAUCUGGUUGCUCAAGUGCUUAGUGAUACAUCUCCUAAACUAUCAGCAACUUUCACUGCCAUAUACACUCAUAAGUAGUCUCGGUCCCACCGAUAUUCCAAACUCAGUCACACCGAGAUGAACCACCUCAGCCAUAAGCCAAACCCUAGUAAACUCGGAUUUUCCGAUUCUGAACUCGGUCUCACCGAAACAUGAGUUGCCAAGCUUCUGUAACCUUCUGUCAUCAAAUCGGUGUCACCGAGAUGAUGAAGUCGGUCCCACCGAAACUAGCAUGCUCUUGUCAUUGCACGAAUCGGACUAACCGAGAUUGUAUAUUCGGUCCCACCAAAAAUCCCAACGUUCACAUUAUUUGAACUAUCGGUCUCACCGAGUUGUCCACUUCGGUCCCACCGAGAUUGCUCAAAUGUGUGUAACAGUUGGAUUUUGUGUGGAGGCUAUUUAUACCCCUCCACCCCCUCUUCAUUCGUGGAGAGAGCCAUCAGAAAGAACUACCACUCCUACCUUAUAUUUCUGAGAAGAGAACUACCUACCCUUGUGUUGAGAUCAAGUUGCUCCACUCCCACCAUAUGAAGCUUGAUCUCUAGCCUUCCCAAGUUGCUUUCCACUCAAUCCUUUCUUCCACCACAGCCAAAUCAGUGAGGAGAGUUGAGUGUUGGGGAGAUUAUCAUUUGAAGCACAAGAGCAAGGAGUUCAUCAUCAUCUACAACAUCUAUUACCUUUUGGAGGGUGGUGCCUCCUAGAUUGGUUAGGUGUCGCUUGGGAGCCUCCGUCAUCGAGAUGUGGAGUUGAACCAAGAAGUUUGUAAGGGCAAGGAGAUCGCCUACUUCGUGAAGAUCUACCCCGAGUAAGGCUAGCCCUCCGUGGGCGUAGGCCAUGAUGGAAUAGACAAGGUUGCUUCUUCGUGGACCCUUCGUGGGUGGAGCCCUCCGUGGACUCUCGCAGCCGUUACCCUCCGUGGGUUGAAGUCUCCAUCAACGUGGAAGUACGAUAGCACCACCUAUCGGAACCAUGAGAAAAAUCACCGCGUCUCCAAAUUGCGUUUGAUCUUCUCCACUUCUCUUUACUACUUGUGCAAUUUACUUUCCGCUGCCCAUACUCUAGAAUUGCACGUGUAGUGUGCUACUUGACUUGUGUGUUAUGCAAAAUCUGCCAAAAUCUGUUCUUAAUAAAAGACAGAAUUUUUAUCUUGUCGAGUAGUCUAAUCACCCCCCCUCUAGACACUCUCACCUUCUUCGAUCCCUCAAUUGGUAUCAGAGCUUUGGUCUCCAUUGCUUUGGUUUACACACCAUUGGAGGAAGAUGGACAUGUCUAUGUUUGGGAGUGUUAGCCAUAGAGUGCCUAUUCUUAAUGGAGUGUCCUAUAACUCGUGGAGGAUUGAAAUGCUUAUUAUCUUUAAUACUUACAACUUGCGCAAAUAUGUUGAGACCCCCUAUGUGCCUCCAUUUGACCCCUUGCACCCUACCAUGGAUGAAGAGCUUGAUUUGCUUCGUAACCUUAGGACUGUAAAUCUUAUCAUUAGAGGGUUACCCGAUAACUUGCUUAAGCUCGUUACAAACUUUGAGUGCGCCUAUGCUAUGUGGAAGUUCUUGGAAGAACUUUAUCCGGACUACUCUUUGAGAGGUCUUGAUGAAAUUCUAUACAAGACUAUUGAAUUUGAUAUGAUGCGCCCCAAUGAUCCCAACUUUGAUAAAUGCUUCUUUGAGCUUCGUGAUCUUAUGAAAAAGAAGGGUGAUCCCGGUCUUAUCAAUGUUCUAAUUAGAAAUGCUCUUGUAUUGCAUUCCGAUGAUUAUUGUCACAUUGACAAAACUAAUGCAAGUAGUUAUCAAAUUGACCUAGGUGUUGAUGAUGAACAAUCUAUGGGUCGAUAUGAUGAUGGGCAUGAGCAUGAUGAUGAUCACUCCGAUUCGGACACCGAGCUAGACAAGAUCAUGAAGAGUCUCAACCUUAUGGCAAAUCUGAGAGACUACAUAUCCGGCGGAAAAGAGUGGAUUCUUGAUAGUGGAUGCACCGACCACAUGACCGGAGACAAAGACAUGUUUCGAGAGCUUGCAAAGAACGAUGGUCCACGCAAGUAUGUGACUUUUGGAGACAACUCCAAGGGUAAGGUACUUGGCCUUGGUAAGGUGGCCAUAUCUCAUGAUAGCUCUAUUCAAAAUGUCAUGCUUGUAGAAUCUCUUGGAUACAAUUUACUUUCCGUGUCUAGAUUAGCUGACUUUGGAUUCAAUGUGCUAUUCACCGAAGUAGAUUGCCAAGUCUUUCGUCGUGACAAUCAUAACAUGGCGUUUACCGGUAUCCGCAGAGGUGAUCUAUAUAUUGUUGAUUUCACUAAGAAAGCCCAACCUAGAGCUUGCUUCAUUACUAAAUCAGCUAAAGGUUGGUUAUGGCAUAGAAGGCUUGGACAUGUUGGUAUGCGUAAUUUAGACAAGCUGAUCAAAGGUGAUCAUAUUCUUGGCGUUAAAGAUGUUUUCUUUGACAAAGAUAGACUUUGUAGUGCUUGUCAAGCAGGAAAACAAGUAGGUGGAAGUCAUCCCGUGAAGAACAUCAUGACCACAAGGAGACCGCUUGAGCUUCUUCAUAUGGAUCUCUUUGGUCCCAAUGCUUACAAAAGCCUUGGUGGUAACUCCUUUGGUCUAGUUAUAGUUGAUGAUUAUUCCAGAUUUAUGUGGGUAUUUUUCCUUGAUGACAAAUCGCAGGUUCAGAGGAUCUUCAAAACCUUUGCCAGAAAGGCCCAAAAUCAAUUUGAGGUGAAGAUCAAGAAAGUUCGGAGUGACAAUGGAACGGAGUUCAAGAACGCUAAUGUAGACUCUUUUCUCGAUGAGGAAGGGAUUCUACAUGAGUUCUCGGCUACGUACACUCCUCAACAAAAUGGAGUUGUUGAGAGGAAGAACCGAACGCUCAUAGAGAUGGCGAGAACGAUGCUUGAUGAAUACAAGACACCGAAGCAUUUUUGGGGGGAAGCGGUCGAGACAGCUUGUCAUGCUAUCAACAGGCUUUAUCUUCAUAAGCUCCUCGGCAAGACAUCAUACGAGCUCCUCACCGGUAACAAACCCCAAGUGGGAUACUUUCGUGUCUUUGGUUCAAAAUGUUAUAUCCUUGAUAAGCAUCGUCGGUCUAAAUUUGCUCCUAAAACUCAUGAAGGCUUUUUCCUUGGUUAUGGAUCAAACUCCCACACCUACCGUGUCUACAAUAAUUUCACCCGAAAGGUUGAAGAGACGGUAGACGUGAAGUUUGAUGAAUCUAAUGGCUCGCAAGUAGAGCAAAUGCCUAUUGAUGUAGGAGACAAGGACCCAUCAGAAGCUAUCCAAGAUUUAUCUAUUGGAAAGAUCCGUCCCAUGGAAGUGAAGGAGAGUACCUCAUCUACAUAUGUGGAGCCCCCUACCUCACGGCGAGAUGAACCUCAAGGCAACAUGGAGGCCUCCACAAGUGGAACUCACCAAGAUGAGGAAGUGCAACAAGAAGAUCCACCACAACCUCCUUCUCCACCGCCUCAAGACAACACCAACAACAAUGAAGAAGAAGAAGAGGAAGAUGAAGAUGAUGAGGAAGCUCAGCCACAACCUCAACAAAAGCUAUCCUGAGUCUGAGCAAGAGUCAAGAAAAAUCAUCCCGUGGAACAAAUGAUGAACGACAUCAACUCCGGGAGAAUUACUCGCUCUAAAACUCGCUUAGCUAACUUUUGUGAGCAUUACUCAUUUAUCUCUAGUAUUGAACCUAUGAAGGUAGAAGAAGCACUUGAAGACCCGGAUUGGGUGAACGCUAUGCACGAAGAGCUACACAACUUCGAGAGGAACAAUGUAUGGACUUUGGUAGAGAAGCCCAAGGAUGAUCAAAACGUCAUUGGAACCAAAUGGGUGUUUCGGAACAAGCAAGAUGAAGAUGGACAAGUCAUCCUCAACAAGGCUCGUCUCGUAGCUCAAGGUUACACACAAGUCGAAGGUAUGGACUAUGGUGAGACCUAUGCCCCCGUUGCUAGACUUGAGUCCAUUCGCAUUCUUCUUGCUUUUGCCAAUCACCAUGAUAUUACUCUCUAUCAAAUGGAUAUCAAAAGUGCUUUCCUAAAUGGUGAAAUUGAGGAGGAAGUAUUUGUGAAACAACCUCCCGGAUUUGUGAAUCCCAAAAAGCCUAAUCAUGUUUACAAGUUGCACAAAGCUCUUUAUGGUCUUAAACAAGCUCCUAGAGCUUGGUACAAAUGCUUGACUAGCUUUCUUCUUGAAAAAGGCUUUGAGAUUGGAAAGAUAGACUCAACGCUGUUCACGAAAAGGGUUGAUGGUGAACUAUUUGUGUGCCAAAUAUAUGUUGAUGAUAUUAUCUUUGGUUCAACUAACCCUCAUUUUAGCGAGAAGUUUGGAAAGCUCAUGUCGGAGAAGUAUGAGAUGUCCAUGAUGAGUGAACUCAAAUUCUUCCUUGGGUUGCAAAUCAAGCAAUCUAAGGAGGGUACCUUUGUCUCACAAACAAAGUACACCAAGGAUCUCUUCAAGAAGUUCAACAUGCAAGAAAGCAAAGGUAUGAGAACCCCCAUGCCUACAAGUGGACAUAAUGACUUGACAAAAGAUGGAGAACCCGUUGAUCAAAAGGUUUACCGAUCUAUGAUUGGUUCUCUACUAUAUCUUUGUGCUUCUCGUCCUGACAUAAUGUUGAGUGUAUGCAUGUGUGCUCGAUAUCAAGAAGCCCCUAAAGAAUGUCAUCUUAAAGCUGUUAAAAGGAUUGUGAGAUAUUUGAUACACACACCAAACUUUGGCAUUUGGUAUCCUAAGAGGGCCUCUUUCGACCUUGUUGGCUAUUCCGACUCGGACUAUGCCGGAGAUAGGGUUGAUAGAAAGUCAACUUCGGGUACGUGUCAAUUCCUUGGUCGAUCCCUUGUAUCUUGGUCCUCCAAGAAACAAAAUUCGGUAUCAUUAUCCACUGCCGAAGCGGAAUAUAUUGCUGCUGGUUCGUGUUGUGCUCAAUUACUAUGGAUGACACAAACGCUUAAGGAUUAUGGGAUACAUGUGAGACAUGUUCCCUUGCUUUGUGACAAUGAGAGUGCGAUUAAAAUUGGACACAAUCCCGUGCAACACUCUUGAACGAAACAUAUUGAAGUUCGUCACCAUUUCAUUCGUGAUCACAUUGCCAAGGGUGACAUCAAUCUUAAGCAUGUUCGUACUGACAAACAACUCGCUGAUAUCUUUACAAAACCUCUUGAUGAGAAGGUGUUUUGUCACUUAAGGAGUGAGUUGAACAUCAUUGAUGCUUCAAACUUGGAGUGAGAACUCCAUUGAUGCAUGCAAGGCAUGAGCCCACUUGACUAAUCCUUGAUAUUUCUCUUAUGAUGGUAAUCAUAUAUCUUGGACACAUUUGCCUCCUUGUAUUGCAUCUAACUCCUUGCAGGUACUUGGAUGAUCUACAUUCCACAAGAUUACCACACACUCAAAUCAUGAGUAAUCUUGUCAUUGACCAAGUAUCUAGCCCUUUUGGGAUGUUGAGUUCAAGGAACAAAAUUCCACAUAUCCUUUUUGACAUCUUAUACAUCUAGUAUUUCACUCUUGUCAUCUUGGAUAUCCUUGAGUAUUUCCUUGCUUGCCUAACCCAUGUAGGAAGAUGAACUACACAAGUGGAAAUGGCGCUCCAACUUCACAUUCAAUGAGCACCUACAUCAAGUUCACCUACAUGAACAAAGCAACAACAAGCCCAAGGUAUGUUCUUCACAUCUUUAAGGAGCUUUGCUCAAAGUCAUGAGUACAAGCAGCUUCAUAAGAUGUGAUCACAUCGAAUGCCUAAUCGAAAAAUGGCAACCCCAUUUUGAGCUUAAAUGAUGAGUAUGACCUAUGAUCAAAUGUCCUCAUUUGACUCCUAAGUCAAUAUACUCAAACAUAGGUGACCUUGUCGCCGACCUUUAUCUAGAUGAAGUACAUAUGUUUUGGAGUCUUUCUAUUUUCUCUUAUUUUCUCUCAUUGAGUUUUCAUUAAAAAAAACUUCAUCUAGGAAUCUUUUUCAUUUCUAUUCUUCUGUCUUUGUGAAUAUCCUUCUGGCUCUGAUCAAUUCCUCGAAAAUCAUUCACAAAUUCAUUGCAAAUCCUUUGAAACAUUCCUCGCAAAGUGAGAUGAAUUAUUUCUGUAUUUCCUUGAAAUUAAACUCGGCGUCACCGAUUUAACUAUUUCGGUCUAACCGAAAAGGAUCUACCCUAAGUCCCUGAUUCGGACCCACCGAUCCAUCCUAAUUCGGUGUCAUCGAUUUAUUUCUUCCAGGAUAUCAUCUUCUGCAGCUCCACUCAAUGAUUCUCUAUGCAUGUUCCUUUUUGCCCUGUUGUGAUUCUUAAGGAUCCCACUUCUUUCUUUCCAUCUUCCCUAACCUUCCUAGUUCGCUGUCCUUUUCGGCACUUGAUGUCAAAGGGGGAGAAGACUUAGGGGGAGAAGAGAAGAUUUAGGGGGAGAAGAAGAGCAAUCUUACCUUAAGGGGGAGAGAAUCACAUCAAAGCUUUGCCGUGUUUUUCCUUAUAAGAGAAUUUCUUGCCCCUUGAUCUGAGAGAACUCAAAGGGAGAGGAAUCUUCACAAUUGAUAUCUUAUGGAAAGCAAAAUCUCUCAGAGUUCAUUGAAAAUCUUUUAGUUUCGGAGACAUGUUUGCUGAUUCAAGCUUGUGCUCAAUAUGAGACACUCUUUAUACAUGUCAUCCCUGGCUUGGUACUCUUGAUGUUCUUGUAGUUAGUUGAAGAAAUACUCUUGUGUUAUCUAACCUUGUUUUCCCAAGUUUAUCUCUUCAGGUACAAUGCCAAGGAACCUCAAGGUAAGUAUAUGCACUUUGCAGAAUGUGCAUGAUGGUGACUUGCUUGUGAAUACUUGUUUGCAAGAAAUCACCAUGCACAUAUGCAUUAUCACUCACUUCUUUUCAUCUGCUCUGAUGCAUAUAGCCAAGCUGCAUGUAGCACAUCUUGCUUCUCUCUCUUGUGUGCUUGUGGUAGUCCAAAACCAUAAUUUAUGAAAAUCUUGCACACUUGUAGGGGGAGCCUGUGUACUACAUGUUUGUCAAAGCUUUCGUGAUAAUUCUGUCUUUCUUUCAAUAAGCUUUGAUGUCUUGUUUAGUGUGUUGCCAUCAAUUACCAAAAAGGGGGAGAUUGAAAGCACAUUUGCUCCCCGGGUGGUUUUGGUAAUUAAUGACAACAUACUUUGUGGUUGGACUAAUGCUUUUAUCAAGUAUGUUUCAGGAAAUUCAAUCACAUUGGCAUGGCAAAAGGACUAAAGAAGUGGACCCCUCAAAAUGCUAAGGCAAGCAUUGGCAAAAGCUCAGCUAAGGCAAGCAUUGGCAAAAGCUCAAGACUCCAUUUUUGGUUUAGUGAUCCAAGAUCACAUUGAGUCCAUAGGAAAAGCCAAUACUAUUAAAAGGGGAUGAGGUUAUGAUGAUGAUCUGGUUGCUCAAGUGCUUAGUGAUACAUCUCCUAAACUAUCAGCAACUUUCACUGCCAUAUACACUCAUAAGUAGUCUCGGUCCCACCGAUAUUCCAAACUCAGUCACACCGAGAUGAACCACCUCAACCAUAAGCCAAACCCUAGUAAACUCGGAUUUUCCGAUUCUGAACUCGGUCUCACCGAAACAUGAGUUGCCAAGCUUCUGUAACCUUCUGUCAUCAAAUCGGUGUCACCAAGAUGAUGAAGUCGGUCCCACCGAAACUAGCAUGCUCUUGUCAUUGCACGAAUCGGACUAACCGAGAUUGUAUAUUCGGUCCCACCGAAAAUCCCAACGUUCACAUUAUUUGAACUAUCGGUCUCACCGAGUUGUCCACUUCGAUCCCACCGAGAUUGCUCAAAUGUGUGUAACGGUUGGAUUUUGUGUGGAGGCUAUUUAUACCCCUCCACCCCCUCUUCAUUCGUGGAGAGAGCCAUCAGAAAGAACUACCACUCCUACCUUAUAUUUCUGAGAAGAGAACUACCUACCCUUGUGUUGAGAUCAAGUUGCUCCACUCCCACCAUAUGAAGCUUGAUCUCUAGCCUUCCCAAGUUGCUUUCCACUCAAUCCUUUCUUCCACCACAGCCAAAUCAGUGAGGAGAGUUGAGUGUUGGGGAGAUUAUCAUUUGAAGCACAAGAGCAAGGAGUUCAUCAUCAUCUACAACAUCUAUUACCUUUUGGAGGGUGGUGCCUCCUAGAUUGGUUAGGUGUCGCUUGGGAGCCUCCGUCAUCGAGAUGUGGAGUUGAACCAAGAAGUUUGUAAGGGCAAGGAGAUCGCCUACUUCGUGAAGAUCUACCCCGAGUAAGGCUAGCCCUCCGUGGGCGUAGGCCAUGAUGGAAUAGACAAGGUUGCUUCUUCGUGGACCCUUCGUGGGUGGAGCCCUCCGUGGACUCUCGCAGCCGUUACCCUCCGUGGGUUGAAGUCUCCAUCAACGUGGAAGUACGAUAGCACCACCUAUCGGAACCACGAGAAAAAUCACCGCGUCUCCAAAUUGCGUUUGAUCUUCUCCACUUCUCUUUACUACUUGUGCAAUUUACUUUCCGCUGCCCAUACUCUAGAAUUGCACGUGUAGUGUGCUACUUGACUUGUGUGUUAUGCAAAAUCUGCCAAAAUCUGUUCUUGAUAAAACAUAAUUUUUAUCUUGUCGAGUAGUCUAAUCACCCCCCCUCUAGACACUCUCAC